rnacentral:rRNA from 1 species
AGUGAACGCUGGCGGUAGGCCUAACACAUGCAAGUCGAACGGCAGCACAGGAGAGCUUGCUCUCUGGGUGGCGAGUGGCGGACGGGUGAGGAAUACAUCGGAAUCUACUUUUUCGUGGGGGAUAACGGAGGGAAACUUACGCUAAUACCGCAUACGACCUACGGGUGAAAGCAGGGGAUCUUCGGACCUUGCGCGAUUGAAUGAGCCGAAGUCGGAUUAGCUAGUUGGCGGGGUAAAGGCCAACCAAGGCGACGAUCCGUAGCUGGUCUGCGAGGAUGAUCAGCCACACUGGAACUGAGACACGGUCCAGACUCCUACGGGAGGCAGCAGUGGGGAAUAUUGGACAAUGGGCGCAAGCCUGAUCCAGCCAUACCGCGUGGGUGAAGAAGGCCUUCGGGUUGUAAAGCCCUUUUGUUGGGAAAGAAAUCCAGCUGGUUAAUACCCGGCUGGGAUGACGGUACCCAAAGAAUAAGCACCGGCUAACUUCGUGCCAGCAGCCGCCGCGG